CAGUAGCCGCGGUAAUACGUAGGUCCCGAGCGUUGUCCGGAUUUAUUGGGCGUAAAGCGCGCGCAGGCGGAUAGGUCAGUCUGUCUUAAAAGUUCGGGGCUUAACCCCGUGAUGGGAUGGAAACUGCCAAUCUAGAGUAUCGGAGAGGAAAGUGGAAUUCCUAGUGUAGCGGUGAAAUGCGUAGGUAUUAGGAAGAACACCAGUGGCGAAGGCGACUUUCUGGACGAAAACUGACGCUGAGGCGCGAAAGCCAGGGGAGCGAACGGGAUUAGAUACCCCAGUAGUCCCUGUCUCUUAUACA
rnacentral:rRNA from 1 species